ACCUCUGUACGGACACGGCAGAGUAGAUGCAACUUCGUCAUUAGAGCCUGCUUUUCCACUGGAGGAGGAGGAUGUUUCUGCGCUCUGGGGAAAUGUGGAAGCUCAGCAAGGAUAACCCGUGACUGCAGAUGAAUACCAGUGUUGAUAAAUCUAUGAAGUUCAGCUCUCCCAAAGUUGCAUGAAUGAGCAUCCUUUCUGCUUGCAGAACUCUUGUCAAAGUGAGGAUUCCUGAAAUGGUGUUGCUUCUCCUUGGGCUAAAUCUCAUUCUCAACAUUGGAGAAUUAUUUCCAUGAAAAAUAAAAAAUAAAGGUGAUAUUUUGGAGGUGUCAUUUGCUUCAGGAGGCACAAGUGUAACACCAAGAUCUGCUGCAGCCAUCUGUCCACCCAGUGCAGUGGGCAGGAAGAGAAGCCUCAAGGUGGAUUGGAGAAGAUUUUAUUCCAGCUUUGCAGUUACAGUCAACCAAGCCAUCUGCCCAUAGGGGAAGAAAACAAGUGAUACUUCGCUGGUGACAUUCAGCAUUAAAACACUCAGGUGGAAUGAGUAAACCUUGGUGAAAUUGGAACUAAAUGCAGACAGCCUUGACAGGUGCCAGGGCAGCCUAAAGGAAUUGUUGUGAAAUAAAUACUAUAUGAAAAUAGUAUCUUGGAAGGAACCCUGGAAGACUCAGGACCCAUUGGCAACUCUGAAGCGCUCAGUUCUCCCCACUGAGAUUUUUAUUCUCUACUUUGUGUACCCUUCAGCCUCACUGAAAAUAGGCAUUUCAUUCAAAAGCAUUUGAAAACUUCGCUGAUGUCUGACUAAUAGUGAAAUAGUUGAUGAAUCUCUGGUUGUACCUUCUUGAGUGAAGCUGUCUCAUUUUAGGAUUGGAAUUAAAAGGAAAGUACCUCUCCUACAGACUGAGCUGCUGUUUGCAUGUCUGUAACAGCUAGACAGCAUCCUGAGGAGCUCCAGGCUAAGUCUUUACUGCUCAAGUUCAAGCCAGGAUUGUUCACUGAGCUUAAGAGUGUCUGGGUGAGGCUGGGAGGAGUCAAAUCUGAGUCCUUGUCACUUGGUCAGCAGCUAUCAGAAACUUCAUUUUGUCGAUGGAAUCGUGAGUGAGAACAGCAGUAAGAGGGGAUAUAUGGAUGUCAUUCUGAGAAGAGUUUGUUGAGAAUAUUGCCAAUUAAUUUUUUUUUUUUUUAUUGCCAAUUUUAACACACUAAAUUAAGGCACGAGAGCCUAUUUAUGAGAGUAUUGAUUACUUUGUUGUAGUGAUGGCUGAUGAGGUUUCCAUGCCUUUGUUACUUAGAUAAAUCAGCUGCUGGUCACUUCAUUGAUUCAGUUUCAGAGCUUGAUGUAAGGAGAUCGGAUGGAUUAACAGUCACUUCAUCCCUUUCUCAGAGUCAUGUCAGUUUAUGUAAUUCUUGACUAAUUGUUUUGCCGUAUCAUGCAAUGUUCCUAUUCUUUUGUAUUCUAUUUCUUUUAUUCUGCACAAGGUUAUCUUGAUUUCAUUACAGAGGUCAAAGCUUCUAAAACACAUUUCUUUCAUUUUUUGAUUUGUUUUGCUUUUUUGUUGUUGUUGUUCUUUUUUGUUGUUUUCCAGUUAACACAAAUAGCACAGCCAAAUGUCUUUGGAUGCAGCUGUGACUUAGGCAUGCAUUGAGACAAGGUUCCAAAGGCUUGAUCUAUAAGAGACUGAAAUGUUUUUAGCAUGCUGGAAACACAAGCAGGAGAUCUCUCUCUCUCCUUGACAAUUAGAACAUUGUCAAGUCUUUCACAGGAAUUACAUUUCAUAUUCAUUUUGGAUUCUGAAGUUUGCACGAAGACUUAACUAUUAGUCUGUUUGUUCAGUGCAUGAUUUUCCUUUGGGCACAUGACAUUAGCAGUUAGAAGCUUGAUUUACCUAUCUAUUGAACUUUUCACAUUUUAACUGUUUCAGAUUAACAACAACAAAAAGAGCCACAAACUUUCUAAUAUUUAUGUGUUAUAAAAAUGUAUUCUGUAUUUAUUUUGAUUAGAUAUGAAUAAUAAUAUCAGUAUGUUGUUGAAUGGAAGAGGCUGCUCAGAAAGGCUGUGGAUGCCCCAUCCCUGGAGAUGUUCAAGGCCAGGUUGCAUGGGGCCCUGGGCA